rnacentral:lncRNA from 1 species
UGCACCCGGCCAGGUUUGUUUAAAAUAUAUCAUGAACCAGGCUGUGUUCUAAGCAGCUCACAUGUAUUUUUUCAUUUAUCCUUGCACCUGAGGCUCAGAGAGAUUAAGUUCAUGUCUCCUAGGUCACCUGGUUGGUGUCACGUGCAAAUAUUUUAAUAUCUCCCAGGACAUGUGUGUUCCAAAUAACAUAAUAUGGGAACCACCUCCCCUACCAGCCUCCUCCCAUAACACACACCUCACGCCCCAGAUCCUAGGCUCAGAACAAACGGGAACAGUAGUAAGUGAGUCAAGCGGUCAUGUUGUCCCUGACUAUAAAAUGCUUCAUCCAGUGUCGGGCACACAAUAGGUCUUCUGAUCACCAUCUGUGGGAUAGGCGCCAAUCAUGAUCUGGUCUCAAACUCCCGACCUGAAGUGAUCCGUUCACCUCGGCCUCCCAAAGUGCUAGGAUUAUAGGCAUGACCACCAUGACCACCAUGCCCGGCCAGCCUUUAACAUUUGAAUGGCUGUUUAGCUGGAUAGAAAAUUCCCAGCUCAAUCUUUUUUUCCUUCUGUAGUUUGGUCAAUUCGACAUUUAUUCCAUUUGUAAGUGUUCUG